rnacentral:rRNA from 1 species
CCGCCGGAGGCGACCGCUAUUGGAGUUCGAUUAAGCCAUGCGAGUCGAGAGUCUUAGGGACUCGGCAUACUGCUCAGUAACACGUGGAUAACCUGCCCUGUACUGGAGAAUAACCUCGGGAAACUGAGAAUAAUACUCCAUAGACCACAAUGCCUGGAACGGUUUGUGGUUCAAAGCUCCGGCGGUACAGGAUGGGUCUGCGGCGUAUCAGGUUGUAGGGGGUGUAAAGGACCUCCUAGCCAUUGACGCGUACGGGUUGUGGGAGCAAUAGCCCGGAGAUGGAUUCUGAGACACGAAUCCAGACCCUACGGGGUGCAGCAGGCGCGAAAACUUCACACUGCGGGAAACCGUGAUGAGGGAACUCCAAGUGUUAGCACAAUGUGCUAUCUUUUCUUGACUUUUAAUAGGUCUUGGAAUAAGGGGCGGGAAAGACCGGUGCCAGCCGCCGCGGUAAUACCGGCGCCUCAAGUGGUCGUCGCUUUUAUUGGGCCUAAAACGUCCGUAGCCUGUUUGGUAAACCCGUGGGUAAAUCAACGAGCUUAACUCAUUGACUUCUGCGGAGACUGCCAGACUAGGGACCGGGAGAGGUGUAGGGUACUCAUGGGGUAGGGGUAAAAUCCUGUCAUCCCAUGAGGACCACCUGUUGCGAAGGCGCUACACUGGAACGGAUCCGACGGUCAGGGACGAAGCCUAGGGGCACGAACCGGAUUAGAUACCCGGGUAGUCCUAGGUGUAAACGCUGUGGACUUGGUGUUGGGGAUCCGACAGGGGUUCCCAGUGCCGGAGCGAAGGUGUUAAGUCCACUGCCUGGGGAGUACGGUCGCAAGGCUGAAACUUAAAGGAAUUGGCGGGGGAGCACUGCAACGGGAGGAGCGUGCGGUUUAAUUGGAGUCAACGCCGGGG